ACUCCUACGGGAGGCAGCAGUUAGAAUAUUCGGCAAUGGGGGAAACCCUGACCGAGCGACACUGCGUGAAGGAGGAAGGCCUUAGGGUUGUAAACUUCUGAACGAGAGACGAUAAUGACGGUAUCUCGGUAAUAGCACCGGCUAACUCCGUGCCAGCAGCCGCGGUAAUACGGAGGGUCCGAGCGUUAUCCGGAAUUAUUGGGUUUAAAGGGUCCGUAGGCGGGCCGGUAAGUCAGGGGUGAAAGUCUGUAGCUCAACUAUAGAACUGCCUUUGAUACUGCCGGUCUUGAGUCACGGUGAAGUUGCCGGAAUAUGUGGUGUAGCGGUGAAAUGCAUAGAUAUCACAUAGAACACCGAUUGCGAAGGCAGGUGACUAACCGUGUACUGACGCUGAUGGACGAAAGCGUGGGGAGCGAACAGGAUUAGAUACCCUGGUAGGUCAGUC
rnacentral:rRNA from 1 species